CUCUGGCGGAACUGCCGUGACAAACCGGAGGAAGGUGGGGAUGACGUCAAGUCAUCAUGGCCCCUAUGUCCAGGGCUACACACGUGCUACAAUGGGCGAUACAGAGUGACGCGAAGCCGCGAGGUGGAGCAAAUCGCAGAAAAUCGCUCUCAGUUCGGAUUGGAGUCUGAAACCCGACUCCAUGAAGGUGGAAUCGCUAGUAAUCGCGCAUCAGCAUGGCGCGGUGAAUACGUUCCCCGGGCCUU
rnacentral:rRNA from 1 species